rnacentral:rRNA from 1 species
UCGAGAAUCUUUCGCAAUGCCCGAAAGGGUGACGAAGCGACGCCGCGUGCGGGAAGAAGGCCUUCGGGUUGUAAACCGCUGUCGGGAGUUAGGAAAUGCAAGGAUGUUAAUAGCAUUCUUGCUUGACUAAGGCUCCGGAGGAAGCCACGGCUAACUCUGUGCCAGCAGCCGCGGUAAUACAGAGGCGGCAAGCGUUGUUCGGAAUUAUUGGGCGUAAAGAGCACGUAGGCGGCUGUGUAAGUCGGUUGUGAAAGCCUUCCGCUUAACGGAAGAACGGCAUCCGAUACUGCAUAGCUUGAGUGCGGGAGGGGAGAGUGGAACUUCUGGUGGAGCGGUGAAAUGCGUAGAUAUCAGAAGGAACACCGGCGGCGAAAGCGACUCUCUAGACCGUAACUGACGCUGAGUGUGCGAAAGCUAGGGGAGCAAACGGGAUUAGAUACCCCGGUAGUCCUAGCCGUAAACGAUGGG